rnacentral:misc_RNA from 1 species
AACAUCGCGCACCUGCGGGAACCUGCGGAAGGAUCAUUAUAGAGUUGCAAAACUCCCUAAACCAUUGUGAACGUUACCUAAACCGUUGCUUCGGCGGGCGGCCCGGGUCCUUCCCGGCGCCCCUCGGCCCUCGCGGGCGCCCGCCGGAGGUAAACCAAACUAUUGCAUUGUAUGGCCUCUCUGAGUCUUCUGUACUGAAUAAGUCAAAACUUUCAGCAACGGAUCUCAGAUCGGAAGAGC